rnacentral:piRNA from 1 species
AGCUCUUCCCCGUUAAUUACU